rnacentral:rRNA from 1 species
GACGGAGGAUGCAAGCGUUAUCCGGAAUGAUUGGGCGUAAAGCGUCUGCAGGUGGCAGUUCAAGUCUGCUGUCAAAGACCGGGGCUUAACUUCGGAAAGGCAGUGGAAACUGAACAGCUAGAGUAUGGUAGGGGCAGAGGGAAUUCCUGGUGUAGCGGUGAAAUGCGUAGAGAUCAGGAAGAACAUCGGUGGCGAAGGCGCUCUGCUGGACCAUAACUGACACUCAGGGACGAAAGCUAGGGGAGCGAGUGGG